UCAUAAAAUGGCAGUUUAUUUAUUGUGUUUGUUUGCCCUCCAAUGUCGAUCUUUAUAGUCAACCUUACACGAUAACAUUCCAAACAGCAUUUGCGUUAGUUAGCUGGAAAUGGCGGGAAUUUCGGGGGAAAAUUGCAUGUUUUCAAGUAUUGACGUGUUACGAUCGGCCCGAAUAGAUUGAAAAACGGCGCCAAAAUGGUGGAGGACGCCCAGUGCGACGAAGUGUUCGAUUGUUUUGUAAUUUCUAACUGUGGUGGCCACAACAAACUGUCAACAAAUCCUUGCCCCCUUUUUAUUACAACUGAUUCUAGAUUCGUAUAAUUGAAACGUUUGAUCAAAUAAAGCAGAGAAAAUUACUGUAUAUUAUUAAGAGCUUGUAUGGACUUGUCGAAAGUAUAUUUAAAGAAAUGACGAAAUUCCGGUCGUUGGAGCGCCACCGCAUUUGUUUACAGUUUUGGGGUUUCGUUUAUAUAUCCACCAUUUUGAAUGUCACCGUAUACCUGGAGGUAUGUAGUUGAUUAUUGAGAACUGUUCUGGCGCUAUCUAUUCAAGAAGUCAACACCGGAAGAAUUCAAAUACAGGUUUCUGUAUAAACACUUAUUGCCAUGACGAGGACAAGACAAACAGUUCGUAGAUCAACAGGUGGAAUAGCACCACGAAAAAUGGUUGCACGGCUAUCAAGACCGGCCCAUGGAGGCAGCUACUCAGAAAGUGGGAAACAGAUUUUGGAUACAUCACCACUACGAAUUGAACUGAGGAGUACCCAGCAUUUAAUUCCAAGUCAUCGACUACCCAGCGUUCGAGAGACUGAACGACUGCAGCAAAUACAAGGACACUGUUCAUCUCGGGAAGAAAUUACGCCACCAUGUGGACUAAAACUAAGAAGUUGUUAAACAAACUACCGGUAUACCUUCUGUAACAUGGCUGUCAUGUGACCAUUAUUGUGAAGUUUUACAUACAUAUACAUUGUCAUGAAUUUAAAAGGCACGAAUAAUCAGUGAUAAUGAUGCCGAAAAAUGUACAAUUAAUUAACACCACGGUGACAAAUUUAGGUUCAACAAUUUUUUAAUGAAUUUUUAUAUUUCUAAAGUAUAAAUUUAAUAAAUAAUAUAGUGUAACAACA